UCAUCUUCUUUGGCUGACAAUUACACCGACUGCGGCAAAACCUUUGGCGGUGGAAGUAAUAUUGGGAGUAUAAGCUAUCCAUUCUUGGGUUGACCAUCCAGAUAGCAAGUUGAACUGCACAGACGACAACGUAGCUUAUAUCGAAAUCUCUUCGCAGGAUACAGAGUGCUGGAAAUCAAUGAGGGAACACGUACUGUGAAAGCUGUUAGAGCGGGUUAAUUGGGAGAUGUUUGUCAAAAAGAGCUCCGUAACGUCACCUCAUUAGAUACCACCUUGUUGAAUUACACUUCAGAUACCCAACAACUGACUCUGCCAGUAUUCCACGCCAUUUCAAUUGCAGCGUAUCCGGAGGAUCAAAUACUGAUAAUUUCUACCCAGCAGGAGAAAUGAGUACAGCAGGCAACUUACCUGGCUUCACCAGUAAAGCCCCACACUUGGAACGUAUGUGCAAUGUCAGUGUGGGACUCCAUAUUUCUCAAAGCGAUGCCACCGAUUUACAAGCCAGUAUGACAAAGUCAAAUGAGAAUCUGAUAAAGACGGUGGAUGCUGGGUUUGGGUUGAUAUGGAAUGACAAUCUGACAAUCGUUGUGAUGAUUAAUGUCAAAGCGGUAGCCGCUGUGGCUACGACGUGAGUUCUGAUGAAUUCGUCUGCUUUACAAACACAGGCAUUUCAGAAGCUGUGGUGGACUUUUGAUACUUUUUGCUAUAAUUCUAUGAAUCUGUGAGAGAGAAUGGUCUUUUGGAAGAAAGAUAGUAGAGAGGAUAUUUAUGUGGUGGCAUUUACGAGGAAUUACACUUCACUUGCACCAAAGCAAUAUAGUUAUUCACAGGUCGAGAAAAUGGCAAACUUAUUGGCAGAGUAAUAGGGAAAGGAGGAUAUGGUUGUGUAUACAAAGGAACACUACCUGAUGGUUGCCUUGUUGCUGUGAAACUAGUAAAAGAUUCCAAAAGCAAUGGAGAAGAUUUUAUAAAUGAAAUUGCUAGUAUGGGUAAAAUUUCUCAUAUUUCAUACCCAAUGGUUCACUUGA